AUUGAACGCUGGCGGCAGGCCUAACACAUGCAAGUCGAACGGUAACAGGAAGAAGCUUGCUUCUUUGCUGACGAGUGGCGGACGGGUGAGUAAUGUCUGGGAAACUGCCUGAUGGAGGGGGAUAACUACUGGAAACGGUAGCUAAUACCGCAUAACGUCGCAAGCCCAAAAAGGGGGACCUUCGGGCCUCUUGCCAUCGGAUGUGCCCAGAUGGGAUUAGCUAGUAGGCGGGGUAACGGCUCACCUAGGCGACGAUCCCUAGCUGGUCUGAGAGGAUGACCAGCCACACUGGAACUGAGACACGGUCCAGACUCCUACGGGAGGCAGCAGUGGGGAAUAUUGCACAAUGGGCGCAAGCCUGAUGCAGCCAUGCCGCGUGUAUGAAGAAGGCCUUCGGGUUGUAAAGUACUUUCAGCGGGGAGGAAGGGAGUAAAGUUAAUACCUUUGCUCAUUGACGUUACCCGCAGAAGAAGCACCGGCUAACUCCGUG
rnacentral:rRNA from 1 species